GUUUGACAUGUCACAAAACCAGGUUCAACCCACCAUUUUUUCCUUUAAAAAUGUCCUGUACCAAGUCAGGAAUAUGGCAAUUGUUAUAUUAUAGUUCGUUUCUCUGUGUGUUACAAUUUAACGUUGCUUCGUUUGUUUUCUCUUAUUUUUAAGUAUAAAUUGACAUUGCGAUAAGACGUGUCACGGUACUUGUCUAUCCCAAAUUCAUGUAUUUGGUUUUGAUGUUAUAUUUGUUAUUCUCGUGGGAUUUUGUCUGAUGCUUGGUCCGUUUCUGUGUGUUUUACAUUGUAGUGUUGUGUCGUUGUUCUCCUCUUAUAUUUAUGCGUUUCCCUCAGUUUUAGUUUGUUACCCCG
rnacentral:lncRNA from 1 species